GACGGAGGGUGCAAGUGUUGUCCGGAAUCACUGGGCGUAAAGCGUCUGUAGGUGGUCAGGUAAGUCAACUGUUAAAUCUUGAGGCUCAACCUCAAAAUCGCAGUCGAAACUAUUCGACUAGAGUAUAGUAGGGGUAAAGGGAAUUUCCAGUGGAGCGGUGAAAUGCGUAGAGAUUGGAAAGAACACCGAUGGCGAAGGCACGUUACUGGGCUAUUACUAACACUGAGAGACGAAAGCUAGGGUAGCAAAUGGG
rnacentral:rRNA from 1 species